AAGAUAACUAUGAAUACCAGCUCUCCAGGAAAUGCAGUUAUCACCAAUUAAGUCCAUUACUGAGUCAUCAACAGCUAGGAAAAUGUUUAUUCCCAAAUCAUUGAAAGAGCAGGUCGGACAGGGAGCUGGCACCUUCUACCUCCUCGCAGGUAUACCCCGUUCAACAGAUCCUCCCAGACACAGGAGAACUCAACGUAGACUCCGUUUAUCAUGGCUGCUACCUAAUAAGAAACUGCUUUCCUGAAAAAUAUUUAUCAUGAAUUCAGCAGCUGUUAGGUGAAGCUGCAAAAAUCGACUUCUCUCCAUGUUGCCAAAUUCCUGGCUUUGUAGACGCAGAAUAAUACGUAGGGUGUAAUACCAUUUGUGCCAAAAGGUGCAGAGAGGGAAGAAUGCAUGCAUAUUCGCAUGUGUGAAUGGAAGAACGGACAAGAAACUUAGAAUAUUAGUUUACCUUGGGGACGUGAACUGGAAGGCUGGGGAACAGGGGUUCAGAUGGAGACUUCAUGGUAUAUCCUUUCUACUUUCCUAAUUUUGAAACUUGUGAAUAUGUUGACAAUUGAAAAAUUAAAUUUAAAUGAUUCCCAGCAUUGUGACUGUCUGUCACCUUGCUUAUAAUUGCUGAUGAUAUGAGGUCUUUGAUUUUACCAUCACCACUCAUCUCCUUGAUGGUCAUUUUUUGG
rnacentral:lncRNA from 1 species